AGCAGCCGCGGUAAUUCCAGCUCCAAUAGCGUAUAUUAAAGUUGUUGCAGUUAAAAGCUCGUAGUUGAAUUUCGGGGUUAGUAGGUUGGUCAUGCCUCUGGUAUGUACUGGUCUCACUGAUCCCUCCUUCCUGAUGAGCCGUAAUGCCAUUAAUUUGGUGUUGCGGGGAAUUUGGACUGUUACUUUGAAAAAUUAGAGUGUUUAAAGCAAGCUAACGCUUGAAUACAUUAGCAUGGAAUAAUGAAAUAGGACGUUCGAUCCUAUUUUGUUGGUUUCUAGGAUUGACGUAAUGAUUAAUAGGGAUAGUUGGGGGCAUUAGUAUUCAAUUGUCAGAGGUGAAAUUCUUGGAUUUAUUGAAGACUAACUACUGCGAAAGCAUUUGCCAAGGAUGUUUUCAUUAAUCAAGAACGAAAGUUAGGGGAUCGAAGACGAUCAGAUACCGUCGUAGUCUUAACCAUAAACUAUGCCGACUAGGGAUCGGAUGAUGUUAAUUUUUUAAUGACUCAUUCGGCGCCUUAAC
rnacentral:misc_RNA from 1 species